UAAGCGCACCCAGGCGCACCGUGUGCCCGAUUUGAGCCAGGAUAUGACAGGGCUGAGGGUGGGAGUGACUGGAGUUGAUACAGAUGUGCAUCAAGUGUUUUUUUCUUCAUUUGCCGGUCACAAAGGAGCCCAACCUCAGUACAGCUAAGAGAGGGGAACAGAUUUGAAACCAACACAGAAAGCAGCAUGGGUUUGCAUGUGGAACAUUACUUCUCUGACUAUGUCUCCGUUAAAAUGGCCGCCUAUGUUUCAGAACCUUUAAGGCCCUAUAGGUUCAGUUCCCUAAACCUGCACUACCUGGCUACGAUUGUCUACCCG